AUAUAAUUCACCUGGGGAUGUUGUUAAAAUGCAGGGUCUUGAUCUGCCUAUCUGAGGUGGAGCUUGAGAUACUGCACUUCCAACAAGCUCCCUCCCAGGUAAUGUAGCU
rnacentral:pre_miRNA from 1 species